rnacentral:pre_miRNA from 1 species
ACUGUUGGUAACAUUGCUGCACUGUUGGCAACAUUGCUGCACUGUUGGCAACAUUAGUGCAGCAAUGUUGCCAACAGUGCAGCAAUGUUGCCAUCAAGU